rnacentral:lncRNA from 1 species
AUGUACCAGUGGGCUUUGGGAGAAAAAGGAAAAAAAAAAAAUACUAAUACUAAUUUAAAAAUAUUUGAGUUUACCAUCUUUUUCACAGUCAUUCUGCAAAAAUUCAUUGAACACCUGUUAUGGAAAUAUAAAGAUACAAGCCAUAGCCUCUGCUCACAAGGGAAAGAAAGCAUAACUCUAAAGAGAAUCCUAGUCAUAUUUAUUCGCUUUGCUACCGACCCUCAAAGGUUCUGAUUCUCCAAGUCUGAGGAGGAUUCUGAGCAUCUCUGCUUCUUAAAAACUCCACAGGUGAGUGUAAUGUGCAGCCAGGGUUGAGAACUACUGACUUAGAGGACCUGAAAUGUAGAAAUUAUCGUCAUACUUGGGAACAAUAUCUUUCAUUAAGAGUAGAAAUACACUGGACAAAUAAGUAGGUCUCCAACUACCCCAGAGACACUGAGUCACUACAGAAAUCAGAGGUACUUUGUUGACCAAAAGUUCCAGUGUAUGAAAUGCUAGUGUUGAUGAUGUCAGCAGUCCCAUGCUCUCAUUCCCCAACAGAAACAUUGAAAAACAAACAGAAAUUGUCAGAACCAACUUUGUCAGAACUCUGGAAAAAAGCCAAAGGCUUACAGCAACCAAAUGAACACUCAAUCAACAAAAAGACGCCUUGAAAAUGGUAGAAAAGCUUCGUGGCAUUUUUACUUGCCCUUGCCUCCACUCUGGCCUCGUGGCAGUGUUAAAGCUGCAGCAGCCCGCGUUCCUAGGGUGGACCCUGGUCCCUAGUUCCAGAGGAAGCAGACACGACCUUAUUUGAAAAUUAUUGUGUAUGUUUAUUCUAACCUGUGUGGGGCUAUCUGAGGAACCGACUCAAGUGUUUGAUUCUGUUUGGACUAACUCAGGCCCAGAAAAGCUGGAAGCAUUGUUCAAAAAAGCUGCAAGGCACACUGUCAACCCACAGACGCCUGGAGUAAAGGAUUAAGGUCUAGACAUACAAUAGACCGCCUCAGACCCAGGAGGAAACACUGAGGGGAUUCUUUGGGAAAUUAGGACAUUCAAAAGCACCUAUGGAGCCAGCCCUGAUGACCUACUGGUUAAAGUUUGGCACACUCCACUUUGGUGGCCUGGGUUCAGUUCCCGGGCACAGAACCAUAUCACUUGUCCAUCAGUAGCCAUGCUGUGGUGGUGGUUCACAUAGAAAAACUAGAAGGACAUAUAACUAGAAUAUACAACUAUGUGCUGGGGCUUUGGAGAG